CGGGGGGGGCAAGCGUUGUUCGGAAUUACUGGGCGUAAAGGGCUCGUAGGCGGCCAACUAAGUCAGACGUGAAAUCCCUCGGCUUAACCGGGGAACUGCGUCUGAUACUGGAUGGCUUGAAUCCGGGAGAGGGAUGCGGAAUUCCAGGUGUAGCGGUGAAAUGCGUAGAUAUCAGGAGGAACACCAAUGGCGAAGGCAGCUCGCUGGGACGGUACUGACGCUGAGACGCGAAAGCGUGGGGAGCAAACAGG
rnacentral:rRNA from 1 species